rnacentral:snRNA from 1 species
AUGCCUUAAACUUAUGAGUAAGGAAAAUAACGAUUUGGGGUGACACCUGAAUCCUCACUGCUAAUGUGAGAUGAAUUUUUGAGCGGGUAAAGGUUGCCCCUAAGGUGACCCAUCUACUCAGGGGGAUGCCUGGGAGUCGCGGUCUUA